GAUGAACGCUGGCGGCGUGCCUAAUACAUGCAAGUCGAGCGAACAGACGAGGAGCUUGCUCCUCUGACGUUAGCGGCGGACGGGUGAGUAACACGUGGAUAACCUACCUAUAAGACUGGGAUAACUUCGGGAAACCGGAGCUAAUACCGGAUAAUAUAUUGAACCGCAUGGUUCAAUAGUGAAAGACGGUUUUGCUGUCACUUAUAGAUGGAUCCGCGCCGCAUUAGCUAGUUGGUAAGGUAACGGCUGACCAAGGCAACGAUGCGUAGCCGACCUGAGAGGGGGACGCGCCCCGAGGGAGUGGAACCACGGUCCCGGCCCCAGAGGAGGCCAAGAGUAGGAAAGCUGCCACAAGGGCGGAAGCCUGACGGAGCAGCGCCACGUGAGUGAUGAGGGCCUUCGGAUCGUAAAACUCUGUUAUUAGGGAAGAACAAAUGUGUAAGUAACUAUGCACGUCUUGACGGUACCUAGUCAGAAAGCCACGGCUAACUACGUG
rnacentral:rRNA from 1 species